rnacentral:rRNA from 1 species
GAUGAACGCUGGCGGCGUGCUUAACACAUGCAAGUCGAACGAAGCAUUUAAGACAUAUUUCUUCGGAUUGAAGUCUUUUAUGACUGAGUGGCGGGCGGGUGAGCAACGCGUGGGUAACCUGCCUCAUACAGGGGGAUAGCAUCUGGAAACGGCUGGUAAUACCGCAUAAGCGCACAGUACCACAUGGUACAGUGUGGAAAACUCCGGUUGUAUGAGAUGGACACGCGUCUGAUUAGAUUGUUGGCGGGGUAACGGGCCACCAAGGCGACGAUCCGUAACCGACGAGAGAAGGCGAGCGGCCACAUCGGGACUGAGGCACGGCCCAGAAUCCUACGGGAGGCAGCAGUGGGGAAUAGUGCAAACGGGAGGAGACUCUGAUGGAGCGACGCCGCGUGAGUGAAGAAGUAGUGGGAUAAGUAAAGCUCUAUCAGCCGGGAAGAUAGUGACGGUUCCUGACUAAGAAGCCCCGGCUAAAUACGUG